UACGUAGGGUGCGAGCGUUGUCCGGAAUUAUUGGGCGUAAAGAGCUCGUAGGCGGUGUGUCACGUCGGCCGUGAAAACCUGGGGCUUAACUCUGGGCGUGCGGUCGAUACGGGCAUCACUAGAGUUCGGCAGGGGAGACUGGAAUUCCUGGUGUAGCGGUGAAAUGCGCAGAUAUCAGGAGGAACACCGGUGGCGAAGGGCGGGGUCUC
rnacentral:rRNA from 1 species